UCAUCGGUGGUUCAGGGGUAAAAUGCUCACCUGCCACGCGGGCGGCCCGUGUUCGAUUCCCAGCCGAUGCA
rnacentral:tRNA from 1 species